rnacentral:tRNA from 1 species
GCACUGGUGGGUCAGUGGUAGAAUUCUCACCUGCCAUGCGGGAGACGUGGGCUCAAUUCCCAGCCAAUGUA